UACGUAGGGUGCAAGCGUUUAAUCGGAAUUACUGGGCGUAAAGCGUGCGCAGGCGGUUUGGUAAGACAGAUGUGAAAUCCCCGGGCUUAACCUGGGAAUUGCAUUUGUGACUGCCCGGCUAGAGUGUGUCAGAGGGGGGUAGAAUUCCACGUGUAGCAGUGAAAUGCGUAGAUAUAUGGAGGAAUACCGAUGGCGAAGGCAGCCCCCCUGGGAUAACACUGACGCUCAUGCACGAAAGCGUGGGGAGC
rnacentral:rRNA from 1 species